GAUCCAAGAUGUCAACAACGUCGAGCGAUGAAGAGGAAAAUACUCUCAAUCAGCUAAAACACCUUAAAAAAGUUCGAAAAAAGAACAACAAAAUAUGCUACAUAGAUGUUACGUCUGUUUGGAAAGAAGAGGUGAAUGAUUUCACUAUCAAAAGGUGGGAUACUUACAGGAAUUGUUAAAAACGGUGGCUUUGCUGUGAUGGCGAGUCUUAUGAAGUAGCCAAGAUAUUGAAAUCCUGUAUCGGUGUUGAAUUUAAAGUUAUUCCUGAUGACGCUAGGCUUCACCCGACUUGUUACCGGUGGUCCGUUGAUAAGAAGCGUUUGGAUUCUGCCAAAAACUGGCCAAACGGUUGGAUGUGGGUCAAAAUGAGUUUGUGGCAUCGGACAACGCUUCAGUCUCGACAAGUGACAUUCCAAAGAAAAAACUAAGAUCGAAGACAGGCCUGCCUAUCGGUUCUGCUGGCCCUGUGCUCCCUGCCAUUUCUAUCAUUUGCAAGAAAACCAACGAGAGAAUUACCGUGGGAGGCAACCGGCAGAAGGACCAUCUUUCACAGGCAGAAACGCUUUCAGCAGAAGUGAACCAACCUUUGAUGCCAACUACAACAUAUUCUGAGAGAGGAUCAUAUGCCAAAAGAUAAUUGUUAAUCAGAAGGUGCUGAGAAUGAACCAACUAUGACGAAUGUUUUUAAAUACGGUGCAAAAACAUGAAGAUUGUGAUCCUUCGAAUUACAGGCAGGAUAAAUUGAAGAGAAGACUGACUCUGGGCUUUCCCAACUGGUGUUUUUCUUCAUGGGACACAGUCGUCAGUCUAGACACUAGCCUUGCCCAACUACAACUACUACAGGGCAGAGACAAAAUUGGAUUCUCGAAGAAGACUCCUACAAUACUGGUGUGGGACAAUAUUGACUUUGAGGAGGAGACACUGUCAGGUCGUGGAACUACUCACCAUACGAAUGCUGUACCUGUCUGCAUUUACACAUCUGGGAAGCAGUUUUGAAUUGGACCAGUCAACAUUUGAUGUGCUAAGGAAAUAUGUGUGCCACCUGUAAGGCCAUUCAUCUGCAGAAAAUGUCAACGCUGCAAGGUCCAGAGCAUUCUGCAUGGCAUCAUCAGCUUUGCCAGAACUCUCAAUGUCCCCUACAAGUGACGCCCUGCACCAACAUUGCAAAAGGGCAAACUACCAGGCUGCAAUAAUGAGAAUCUCAAAGGUAUAAUGUCUGCUCAAUCACCCAAUGGCAAUGGAUGGCACAUUGUGGAUGGAUGGUUAAUAGUUACAUGGAUGACUACAAAUCCUGCCCCUGAUCGUGUGUUAAAGGUAGUCCACUGCAGCUGAAAGCAGAACAAAUGUGAGACAGGAAGAUUUCCUGUAUGUCUGUACGACUGUCUUGUACUCAUUUGCAUUGGUGCCAAAAUUGUGCCAAUAUUUCCAUGGAAACGGAGGAUAAAGAACCUGGGAAGAUGGCUCUGAUGAUAGUGAUAGCUAAGAGAUGAAAAUUGUCUCCCUCCUUCAGAAUACGCAAAGUCACACUUAAUCAGUUAGUUCUCUAAUAAAAAUUUGAGUUUUUUCCACAUUUGAGAAAAUCCCUCAGAGUAUUUCACUAUGUCUUUUUUUAGUUACUUAAGUUAAAUACUUUCAAAAUAGAAUGUGAGGUUACAGUGUACUUGACCAUAAAAAUGUAAUAAUCAUAGUUUGAGUUUGUGCCAAAUUUGAGGAAAAUCUAUCAAAUAAUUCUUGAGAUAUGGCUUUAACAAUGUGCUAAGUUAAGACAAAAUAACAAAAAAAUAUAUAUAUAAAAAUACCCAAGACCUGCUGUGACAUCAACACAUUGUUUUGUUCAUGUAAAUAUUGUUUUAUACCAUAUUGUGUACAGAUCCUAAACUGUAAUGCCGUUUUUGUUGUAUUUCCAUUUUUCGGCAUUAUUCGAUAUUUUGAUUGUUGUCAGCCAUUUUGGGCCAAAGUCUUCUUCAUUUCAUUUUAUUUUUUACUUCCUCUCAUAACACAGUAUCUACUGAAAUUUUUAAUGUAUAAAACAUUAUUGUUAAGCAAAAUGUACCAUGUUUAUGUUCAAUUGUACAGGUUGCUAUUCACUUACUUUGAAGAGUUUUUUUUUCAUUUGUUUUGUAUGU